CACUAUGCCUAGCCCUAAACAUUGAUAAUAACUUACAACUAUUAUCCGCCUGGGAACUACGAGCACCAGCUUAAAACCCAAAGGACUUGGCGGUGCUUUAGACCCACCUAGAGGAGCCUGUUCUAGAACCGAUAACCCCCGUUCAACCUCACCCUUCCUUGUUCUUCCCGCCUAUAUACCACCGUCGUCAGCUUACCCUGUGAAGGAUUAAUAGUAAGCAAAACUGGCAGAGCCCAAAACGUCAGGUCGAGGUGUAGCGUAUGGAAGGGGAAGAAAUGGGCUACAUUCACUAGUUUAGUGCACACGAAUGACACCCUGAAACACGUGUCUGAAGGAGGAUUUAGCAGUAAGCAGAAAAUAGAGCGUUCUACUGAAACUGGCCCUGAAGCGCGCACACACCGCCCGUCACUCUCCCCGAGCUAAAAUCUUCAAAUAAAUAAAACCCUAUAACUGCAAAGGGGAGGCAAGUCGUAA
rnacentral:rRNA from 1 species